UCUCUGGUGGCUCAGAGGGUGAAGUGCCUGCAUGCAAUGCCGGAGACCCAGGUUCGAUCCCUGGUUUGGGAA
rnacentral:tRNA from 1 species